rnacentral:lncRNA from 1 species
ACCAAAGUCAACUUUCACUUGCUCUUGCCCAUCCAACUUGGCCUGGCCUUUUUCUUCAAUACAUCACCCAAUCUUCAUGUUUGUUGUUGAUUUUUCUUGGUUUCUUCCAUUACAAAGCUAUCCAUUAUGCACUCCACUGUAAGCCUUCGUCGGAAUCUCUCUCUCAAUUUCAACAAGGAUUCGAGAAGUGGAAUAACAGCCACGAGUAUUGUCCAUCAUAAGCUUGAUCGGUUUCAAUACGGCGUCAUGCGGGAGGAAGCGCUGACAGAGAUAAAUCUUCACUAAAUUAUUUGAGGUUUAAGAAUGAAGUUGGGAACCUGUUGCACCAGAAAAUGUUGGUUCCACUGCUGUCGUAACUGUUGUUGUUCCUGAGCGGUUUUGCGUCGUGGAAGAAAUCUUAUGAUGUUGCUGGCAAAUCGUGAGCUAAGUCCAAAUGAUACAAGACCCCACAUAGUUCAAGCAGGCCAUCAACCACAACUCUUUCUAAUAAAUACAAACACCUGUGUUGCAGUCCUGGAGAUAAGUCUGAGCAUGUUAGGCUGAGUAUAAAGGAUGUUCAAAAAACAGAAUAAAAGGUUUGAAGGAUAAGAUUGGAAACUGGAUUCAUUUCAUAAAGAUCCUACCAAAUUGCUGAUUAUGNNN